rnacentral:rRNA from 1 species
UACGGGGGGGGCAAGCGUUGUUCGGAAUUACUGGGCGUAAAGGGCGCGUAGGCGGCCUAUUAAGUCGGACGUGAAAUCCCUCGGCUCAACCGGGGAACUGCGUCCGAUACUGGCAGGCUUGAAUCCGGGAGAGGGAUGUGGAAUUCCAGGUGUAGCGGUGAAAUGCGUAGAUAUCUGGAGGAAUACCGGUGGCGAAGGCGGCAUCCUGGACCGACAUUGACGCUGAUGAGCGAAAGCUAGGGGAGCAAACGGG